rnacentral:rRNA from 1 species
GAUGAACGCUGGCGGCGUGCCUAAUACAUGCAAGUCGAGCGAACAGACGAGGAGCUUGCUCCUCUGACGUUAGCGGCGGACGGGUGAGUAACACGUGGAUAACCUACCUAUAAGACUGGGAUAACUUCGGGAAACCGGAGCUAAUACCGGAUAAUAUAUUGAACCGCAUGGUUCAAUAGUGAAAGACGGUUUUGCUGUCACUUAUAGAUGGAUCCGCGCCGCAUUAGCUAGUUGGUAAGGUAACGGCUUACCAAGGCAACGAUGCGUAGCCGACCUGAGAGGGUGAUCGGCCACACUGGAACUGAGACACGGUCCAGACUCCUACGGGAGGCAGCAGUAGGAAUCUGCCGCAAUGGGCGAAAGCCUGACGGAGCAACGCCGCGUGAGUGAUGAAGGUCUUCGGAUCGUAAAACUCUGUUAUUAGGGAAGAACAAAUGUGUAAGUAACUAUGCACGUCUGGACGGUACCUAAUCAGAAAGCCACGGCUAACUACGU